AGUGAACGCUGGCGGUAGGCCUAACACAUGCAAGUCGAACGGCAGCACAGUAAGAGCUUGCUCUUACGGGUGGCGAGUGGCGGACGGGUGAGGAAUACAUCGGAAUCUACUUUUUCGUGGGGGAUAACGUAGGGAAACUUACGCUAAUACCGCAUACGACCUACGGGUGAAAGCAGGGGAUCUUCGGACCUUGCGCGAUUGAAUGAGCCGCUGUCGGAUUAGCUAGUUGGCGGGGUAAAGGCCCACCAAGGCGACGAUCCGUAGCUGGUCUGAGAGGAUGAUCAGCCACACUGGAACUGAGACACGGUCCAGACUCCUACGGGAGGCAGCAGUGGGGAAUAUUGGACAAUGGGCGCAAGCCUGAUCCAGCCAUACCGCGUGAGUGAAGAAGGCCUUCGGGUUGUAAAGCCCUUUUAUUGGGAAAGAAAAGCAGCAGGUUAAUCCCCCGCUGUUCUGACGGUACCCAAAGAAUAAGCCCCGGCUAACUUCGUG
rnacentral:rRNA from 1 species